rnacentral:rRNA from 1 species
UCCUACGGGAGGCAGCAGUGGGGAAUAUUGCACAAUGGGCGCAAGCCUGAUGCAGUCAUGCCGCGUGUAUGAAGAAGGCCUUCGGGUUGUAAAGUACUUUCAGCGGGGAGGAAGGUGAUGUGGUUAAUAACCGUAUCAAUUGACGUUACCCGCAGAAGAAGCACCGGCUAACCCCGUGCCAGCAGCCGUGGUAAUACGGAGGGUGCAAGCGUUAAUCGGAAUUACUGGGCGUAAAGCGCACGCAGGCGGUCUGACAAGUCAGAUGUGAAAUCCCCGGGCUUAACCUGGGAACUGCAUUUGAAACUGUCAGGCUGGAGUCUUGUAGAGGGGGGUAGAAUUCCAGGUGUAGCGGUGAAAUGCGUAGAGAUCUGGAGGAAUACCGGUGGCGAAGGCGGCCCCCUGGACAAAGACUGACGCUCAGGUGCGAAAGCGUGGGGAGCAAACAGGAUUAGAUACCCUGGUAGUCCACGCUGUAAACGAUGUCGACUUGGAGGUUGUUCCCUUGAGGAGUGGCUUCCGGAGCUAACGCGUUAAGUCGACCGCCUGGGGAGUACGGCCGCAAGGUUAAAACUCAAAUGAAUUGACGGA